AUAAAUAUGGAUUGUGACAGGAGAUGUGUACACAUUACAACACUGACAGAAGAGCCUCCGAAGACAUCGGUUAGAAGGAAGGAAAUAAAGGUAGCCUAAAACUGCGAUAAAAACCUUAUCUGCAAUGACGAUAGCCCUACACUGUUGCUGUUGCUCGGCUUCUUUUCAUCUGUUUUAAUGCCAUUAAAACAAACACUGACGACGACGUGUUAAUGCAAUUAACGAGGUGGACGAAACACACGAUCGUCACGUCCUGGAACGACCCGUACAAUGGCGGCGCGGGUUCAUUUGCCGCACAACUGCUGCUGCUGCUGCUGCUGCUGGUAUCAUCACCUUUGUAGCUGGUCAGUAACAAGGGCACGGUGUGUUUGAGUUAGGGCAUCCUGAUUUGUGUUGCCCGGUGAUGUCCGUCCGUCCAGCCAAACUGUUGAGGGAGAGAGCUCUUUUGGGUGUACGUGGCUGUGGAUGGUGUUCCUCCCAAAGCAUCUCGUUUAGGACGAAGACAGGUCCAUUCCCCGGAGUUUUGGUUGCUUCUUUUUCUUUUUUGGUACGUAAACGAUUAAAAUUGCUGUAUGCGACCGCACGCCCAUGAGAUACCA